GUCUUCGACAUCCUCUGACAAUCCUAGAGAUAGGACGUCCCCUUCGGGGGCAGAGUGACAGGUGGUGCAUGGUUGUCGUCAGCUCGUGUCGUGAGAUGUUGGGUUAAGUCCCGCAACGAGCGCAACCCUUGAUCUUAGUUGCCAGCAUUCAGUUGGGCACUCUAAGGUGACUGCCGGUGACAAACCGGAGGAAGGUGGGGAUGACGUCAAAUCAUCAUGCCCCUUAUGACCUGGGCUACACACGUGCUACAAUGGACAGAACAAAGGGCAGCGAAACCGCGAGGUUAAGCCAAUCCCACAAAUCUGUUCUCAGUUCGGAUCGCAGUCUGCAACUCGACUGCGUGAAGCUGGAAUCGCUAGUAAUCGCGGAUCAGCAUGCCGCGGUGAAUACGUUCCCGGGCCUUGUACACACCGCCCGUAA
rnacentral:rRNA from 2 species